rnacentral:lncRNA from 10 species
UUAGAGCCCGAGGCAGCCCUGAGCCAGUGGGAGCCCUGCUCCUGGUGAAGGCACAACUUCUGCUGCAGAACUCCCCUGCAGGGUCAGGCUACUGCUGGGACAUUGCAAGAAUCACUCAUCAGCCAAAGGAUGAAGAGUCCUUUUUAUGGUUCAAGCUAGAAGCCAAGCCAGUCUCCUCACCUGAAAAAUGGGAAGAGCAAAAUAUCCUACCCUAGAGGGUUGCUGUGAGAGCCGAAAGCGUCUAUCCACGUGAAGCACAUGGGACAGAGCCUGGCACAAAGAAAAUGCUUCCCGGCAAUGGAAAGCCCUGAUGGAGCCCGGUGUAAACUAUGCAGGGUGCCAGAGCCCCCACUGACAGCGCUGGUGUCCACAUGUGGUCACAGGGAUACAGCGGCAGCAUCCCAAAGCCCUAGCCUGGUCCAUCACCCUCAAAACUGCCUCUGGUUUGUCCAAGUCUACCAGGAUUCAAGUUCAUUUCAGAAAAGCAGUGGCCAGAAACCAAGGCCUGGAGGGGGCUGGGGAGGUGUCAGGGAAGGGAUCAGAGGCCAAGCUC